rnacentral:rRNA from 1 species
GACGAACGCUGGCGGCGUGCUUAACACAUGCAAGUCGAACGGAAAGGCCCUGCUUUUGUGGGGUGCUCGAGUGGCGAACGGGUGAGUAACACGUGAGUAACCUGCCCUUGACUUUGGGAUAACUUCAGGAAACUGGGGCUAAUACCGGAUAGGAGCUCCUGCUGCAUGGUGGGGGUUGGAAAGUUUCGGCGGUUGGGGAUGGACUCGCGGCUUAUCAGCUUGUUGGUGGGGUAGUGGCUUACCAAGGCUUUGACGGGUAGCCGGCCUGAGAGGGUGACCGGCCACAUUGGGACUGAGAUACGGCCCAGACUCCUACGGGAGGCAGCAGUGGGGAAUAGUGCACAAUGGGCGGAAGCCUGAUGCAGCAACGCCGCGUGCAGGAUGACGGCCUUCGGGUUGUAAACCGCUUUCGCCUGUGACGAAGCGUGAGUGACGGUAAUGGGUAAAGAAGCACCGGCUAACUACGUG